UAGGGAAUCUUCCACAAUGGACGCAAGUCUGAUGGAGCAACGCCGCGUGAGUGAAGAAGGUUUUCGGAUCGUAAAGCUCUGUUGUUGGUGAAGAAGGAUAGAGGCAGUAACUGGUCUUUAUUUGACGGUAAUCAACCAGAAAGUCACGGCUAACUACGUGCCAGCAGCCGCGGUAAUACGUAGGUGGCAAGCGUUGUCCGGAUUUAUUGGGCGUAAAGCGAGCGCAGGCGGAAUGAUAAGUCUGAUGUGAAAGCCCACGGCUCAACCGUGGAACUGCAUCGGAAACUGUCAUUCUUGAGUGCAGAAGAGGAGAGUGGAAUUCCAUGUGUAGCGGUGGAAUGCGUAGAUAUAUGGAAGAACACCAGUGGCGAAGGCGGCUCUCUGGUCUGCAACUAACGCUGAGGCUCGAAAGCAUGGGUAGCGAACAGG
rnacentral:rRNA from 1 species